rnacentral:rRNA from 1 species
CACGUAGGGCGCAAGCGUUGUCCGGAAUUAUUGGGCGUAAAGAGCUCGUAGGCGGUCUGUUGCGUCCGCUGUGAAAACUCGGGGCUUAACCCCGAGCCUGCAGUGGAUACGGGCAGACUAGAGGUAGGUAGGGAGAAUGGAAUUCCGGAUCGUAGCGGUGAAAUGCGCAGAUAUCGGGAGGAACACCGGUGGCGAAGGCGGCAUCCUGGACCAAUUCUGACGCUGAUGAGCGAAAGCCAGGGGAGCAAACGGG